rnacentral:rRNA from 1 species
GAUGAACGCUAGCGGCAGGCUUAAUACAUGCAAGUCGAGGGGCAGCAGCUUUAUAGCAAUAUAGAGGCUGGCGACCGGCAAACGGGUGCGGAACACGUACACAACCUUCCUUUAAGAGGGGGAUAGCCCAUAGAAAUGUGGAUUAAUACCCCGUAACAUAUCGGUGUGGCAUCACACUGUUAUUAUAGUUUCGACGCUUGAAGAUGGGUGUGCGGCUGAUUAGGUAGUUGGCGGGGUAAAGGCCCACCAAGCCUUCGAUCAGUAGCUGAUGUGAGGGCAUGAUCGGCCACACGGGCACUGAGACACGGGCCCAACUCCUACGGGAGGCAGCAGUAAGGAAUAUUGUUCAAUGGACGCAAGUCUGAACCAGCCAUGCCGCGUGAAGGAUGAAGGUCCUCUGGAUUGUAAACUUCCUUUAUAGGGGGCGAAAAAAGGGAAUUCUUUCUCACUUGACAGUACCCUAUGAGUAAGCACCGGCUAAGUCCGUGCCAGCAGCCGCCGUAA